rnacentral:ribozyme from 1 species
UUUUGUUUCUUUUUCUUGUUUUUUUUUAAAAAAAAAAAAAGGAACAAAAGAAACUAGGGCUAAGUUUCUUUUU